UACAGGGGGUGCAAACGUUGCUCGGAAUCAUUGGGCGUAAAGCGUGCGUAGGCGGUCUUGUAAGUUUGGUGUGAAAUCUCCCGGCUCAACUGGGAGGGUGCGCCGAAAACUGCAAGGCUGGAGUAUGGGAGAGGUAGGCGGAAUUCCUGGUGUAGCGGUGAAAUGCGUAGAUAUCAGGAGGAACACCUGUGGUGUAGACGGCUUACUGGACCAUGACUGACGCUGAGGCACGAAAGCGUGGGGAGCAAACAGG
rnacentral:rRNA from 1 species